rnacentral:lncRNA from 1 species
UGGCUGAGUGAUGAUAAGAUACGAAUUAUAGGAAUGGGACUGGGUGUCGGAGGCUAUUGCUUCCAAUAUUUCAGUCUUUCCUGAGGGAGGUCUGGAGCUAUCAGAAUUAUUUCCUCUUUCAGAUUCCCCACAGUGGCACUGAACUUUCGAGGAUAGGAGAUUUCUCAUCUCACUACUUUUGUUGCCAAGGAAGAAUAGUUUAUAAGCUCUCCCCAAAGCUAAUGAUCGCCUACCAAUCUGCAGCCUCCUCUCCAUUUUCCAAGCCUCACGUCACCAAGAAUCAUGGAUGCUCUACACACAAAGUCUCAGGCACUGCUGGAUUCCAUCUGCACAUGAUUUGAAAG